AACCUGGUUGAUCCUGCCAGUAGUCAUAUGCUUGUCUCAGAGAUUAAGCCAUGCAUGUCUAAGCAUAAGCGAUCUUAUACAGCGAAACUGCGAAUGGCUCAUUAAAUCAGUUAUAGUCUACUUGAUCGUAUCUUCUUACAUGGAUAACCGUAGUAAAUCUAGAGCUAAUACAUGCUAAAAAUCCUGGACGCGGCAACGCGGAAGGGACGAGUUUAUUAGAUUAAAAACCGACACCUCUCCGCGAGGGGAGGUAGCACAGGUGAUUCACAGUAACCGAUCGGAUCGUCGGCCCCGCCGACGACGAUGCAUACGAGUUUCUGCCCUAUCAACUUUAGAUGGUAGAGUAU
rnacentral:rRNA from 1 species